GAUGAACGCUGGCGGCGUGCCUAAUACAUGCAAGUCGAGCGAACAGACGAGGAGCUUGCUCCUUUGACGUUAGCGGCGGACGGGUGAGUAACACGUAGGUAACCUACCUAUAAGACUGGGAUAACUUCGGGAAACCGGAGCUAAUACCGGAUAAUAUUUCGAACCGCAUGGUUCGAUAGUGAAAGAUGGCUUUGCUAUCACUUAUAGAUGGACCUGCGCCGUAUUAGCUAGUUGGUAAGGUAACGGCUUACCAAGGCAACGAUACGUAGCCGACCUGAGAGGAGGAUCGGCCACACUGGAACUGAGACACGGUCCAGACUCCUACGGGAGGCAGCAGUAGGGAAUCUUCCGCAAUGGGCGAAAGCCUGACGGAGCAACGCCGCGUGAGUGAUGAAGGUCUUCGGAUCGUAAAACUCUGUUAUUAGGGAAGAACAAACGUGUAAGUAACUGUGCACGUCUUGACGGUACCUAAUCAGAAAGCCACGGCUAACUACGUG
rnacentral:rRNA from 1 species